GGUUAAGCGACUAAGCGUACACGGUGGAUGCCCUGGCAGUCAGAGGCGAUGAAGGACGUGCUAAUCUGCGAUAAGCGCCGGUAAGGUGAUAUGAACCGUUAUAACCGGCGAUUUCCGAAUGGGGAAACCCAGUGUGACUCGUCACACUAUCAUUAACUGAAUCCAUAGGUUAAUGAGGCGAACCGGGGGAACUGAAACAUCUAAGUACCCCGAGGAAAAGAAAUCAACCGAGAUUCCCCCAGUAGCGGCGAGCGAACGGGGAGGAGCCCAGAGCCUGAAUCAGCAUGUGUGUUAGUGGAAGCGUCUGGAAAGGCGCGCGAUACAGGGUGACAGCCCCGUACACAAAAGCGCAUGUGCUGUGAGCUCGAUGAGUAGGGCGGGACACGUGGUAUCCUGUCUGAAUAUGGGGGGACCAUCCUCCAAGGCUAAAUACUCCUGACUGACCGAUAGUGAACCAGUACCGUGAGGGAAAGGCGAAAAGAACCCCGGCGAGGGGAGUGAAAAAGAACCUGAAACCGUGUACGUACAAGCAGUGGGAGCACCCUUUGGGGUGUGACUGCGUACCUUUUGUAUAAUGGGUCAGCGACUUAUAUUCUGUAGCAAGGUUAACCGUAUAGGGGAGCCGUAGGGAAACCGAGUCUUAACCGGGCGUUAAGUUGCAGGGUAUAGACCCGAAACCCGGUGAUCUAGCCAUGGGCAGGUUGAAGGUUGGGUAACACUAACUGGAGGACCGAACCGACUAAUGUUGAAAAAUUAGCGGAUGACCUGUGGCUGGGGGUGAAAGGCCAAUCAAACCGGGAGAUAGCUGGUUCUCCCCGAAAGCUAUUUAGGUAGCGCCUCGUGAAUUCAUCUCCGGGGGUAGAGCACUGUUUCGGCUAGGGCCAUCCCGGCUUACCAACCCGAUGCAAACUGCGAAUACCGGAGAAUGUUAUCACGGGAGACACACGGCGGGUGCUAACGUCCGUCGUGAAGAGGGAAACAACCCAGACCGCCAGCUAAGGUCCCAAAGUCAUGGUUAAGUGGGAAACGAUGUGGGAAGGCCCAGACAGCCAGGAUGUUGGCUUAGAAGCAGCCAUCAUUUAAAGAAAGCGUAAUAGCUCACUGGUCGAGUCGGCCUGCGCGGAAGAUGUAACGGGGCUAAACCAUGCACCGAAGCUGCGGCAGCGAACGUAUCACCCAAGACAACUUUACGGAGUUGACGAUUGACGGAGCGAAGCGACGUCAAAGCGUUCAUUAAAGUCGAGUUGGCUUAGGGAUACGUUCGUUGGGUAGGGGAGCGUUCUGUAAGCCUGUGAAGGUGUGUCGUGAGGCAUGCUGGAGGUAUCAGAAGUGCGAAUGCUGACAUAAGUAACGAUAAAGCGGGUGAAAAGCCCCGCUCGCCGAAGACCAAGGGUUCCUGUCCAACGUUAAUCGGGGCAGGGUGAGUCGACCCCUAAGGCGAGGCCGAAAGGCGUAGUCGAUGGGAAACGGGUUAAUAUUCCCGUACUUGGUGUUACUGCGAAGGGGGGACGGAGAAGGCUAUGUUGGCCGGGCGACGGUUGUCCCGGUUUAAGCGUGUAGGUGUGUGUUCCAGGUAAAUCCGGUUCACUUUAACACUGAGGCGUGACGACGAGGCACUACGGUGCUGAAGCAACAAAUGCCCUGCUUCCAGGAAAAGCCUCUAAGCAUCAGGUAACAUCAAAUCGUACCCCAAACCGACACAGGUGGUCAGGUAGAGAAUACCAAGGCGCUUGAGAGAACGGGUGAAGGAACUAGGCAAAAUGGUGCCGUAACUUCGGGAGAAGGCACGCUGACACGUAGGUGAAGUGAUUUACUCACGGAGCUGAAGUCAGUCGAAGAUACCAGCUGGCUGCAACUGUUUAUUAAAAACACAGCACUGCACUGGCAAACACGAAAGUGGACGUAUACGGUGUGACGCCUGCCCGGUGCCGGAAGGUUAAUUGAUGGGGUCAGCGCAAGCGAAGCUCCUGAUCGAAGCCCCGGUAAACGGCGGCCGUAACUAUAACGGUCCUAAGGUAGCGAAAUUCCUUGUCGGGUAAGUUCCGACCUGCACGAAUGGCGUAAUGAUGGCCAGGCUGUCUCCACCCGAGACUCAGUGAAAUUGAACUCGCUGUGAAGAUGCAGUGUACCCGCGGCAAGACGGAAAGACCCCGUGAACCUUUACUAUAGCUUGACACUGAACAUUGAGCCUUGAUGUGUAGGAUAGGUGGGAGGCUUUGAAGUGUGGACGCCAGUCUGCAUGGAGCCGACCUUGAAAUACCACCCUUUAAUGUUUGAUGUUCUAACGUGGACCCGUUACCCGGGUUGCGGACAGUGUCUGGUGGGUAGUUUGACUGGGGCGGUCUCCUCCUAAAGAGUAACGGAGGAGCACGAAGGUUGGCUAAUCCUGGUCGGACAUCAGGAGGUUAGUGCAAUGGCAUAAGCCAGCUUGACUGCGAGCGUGACGGCGCGAGCAGGUGCGAAAGCAGGUCAUAGUGAUCCGGUGGUUCUGAAUGGAAGGGCCAUCGCUCAACGGAUAAAAGGUACUCCGGGGAUAACAGGCUGAUACCGCCCAAGAGUUCAUAUCGACGGCGGUGUUUGGCACCUCGAUGUCGGCUCAUCACAUCCUGGGGCUGAAGUAGGUCCCAAGGGUAUGGCUGUUCGCCAUUUAAAGUGGUACGCGAGCUGGGUUUAGAACGUCGUGAGACAGUUCGGUCCCUAUCUGCCGUGGGCGCUGGAGAACUGAGGGGGCUGCUCCUAGUACGAGAGGACCGGAGUGGACGCAUCACUGGUGUUCGGGUUGUCAUGCCAAUGGCACUGCCCGGUAGCUAAAUGCGGAAGAGAUAAGUGCUGAAAGCAUCUAAGCACGAAACUUGCCCCGAGAUGAGUUCUCCCUGAGACUUAGAGUCUCCUGAAGGAACGUUGAAGACGACGACGUUGAUAGGCCGGGUGUGUAAGCGCAGCGAUGCGUUGAGCUAACCGGUACUAAUGAACCGUGAGGCUUAACCUU
rnacentral:rRNA from 1 species